AUUGAACGCUGGCGGCAUGCUUUACACAUGCAAGUCGAACGGCAGCGCGUGCUUCGGCCUGGCGGCGAGUGGCGAACGGGUGAGUAAUACAUCGGAACGUGCCCAGUAGUGGGGGAUAGCUCGGCGAAAGCCGGAUUAAUACCACAUACGACCUGAGGGUGAAAGCGGGGGAUCUUCGGACCUCGCGCUAUUGUAGCGGCCGAUGGCAGAUUAGCUAGUUGGUGGGGUAAAGGCCUACCAAGGCGACGAUCUGUAGCUGGUCUGAGAGGACGACCAGCCACACUGGGACUGAGACACGGCCCAGACUCCUACGGGAGGCAGCAGUGGGGAAUUUUGGACAAAGGGCGAAAGCCUGAUCCAGCAAUGCCGCGUGUGUGAUGAAGGCCUUCGGGUUGUAAAGCACUUUUGGCGGGAACGAAAAGGACUGUGCCAAUACCACGGUUCGAUGACGGUACCCGCAGAAUAAGCACCGGCUAACUACGUG
rnacentral:rRNA from 1 species